AGUGAACGCUGGCGGUAGGCCUAACACAUGCAAGUCGAACGGCAGCACAGUAAGAGCUUGCUCUUACGGGUGGCGAGUGGCGGACGGGUGAGGAAUACAUCGGAAUCUACUUUUUCGUGGGGGAUAACGUAGGGAAACUUACGCUAAUACCGCAUACGACCUACGGGUGAAAGCAGGGGAUCUUCGGACCUUGCGCGAUUGAAUGAGCCGAUGUCGGAUUAGCUAGUUGGCGGGGUAAAGGCCCACCAAGGCGACGAUCCGUAGCUGGUCUGAGAGGAUGAUCCGCCACACUGGAACUGAGAACCGGUCCAGACUCCUAGGGGAGGCAGCAGGGGGGAAUAUUGGAAAAUGGGCGAAAGCCUGAUCCAGCCAUCCCGGGGGGGUGAAGAAGGCCUUCGGGUUGUAAAGCCCUUUUGUUGGGAAAAAAAAGCAGCAGGUUAAUACCCCGCUGUUCUGGCGGUACCCAAAGAAUAAGCAGCGGCUAACUUCGU
rnacentral:rRNA from 1 species